GAGGCCGAGCGCUUCCCUCUUUAGUGAGGGGUGGCGUGGUAUACCACGAGAAGGGAUUACUGUGGCGUACCCUAAGGGGUGCGUAGGCGCAUAUCAGAGAAUCAGGGCUCUUUCUCUGCUUUGCUGUUUCCUUUAAGCUUUAGGCUGUCAAAGCAGAGACGUUCUUUGCCCUACAUUUUUUGUUUUUCGAUCUCAAUCUUUGGUUUUGAAUUCUUCAGAUUAUUUUUGGUUCUUUUACGAGUCUUUUGAUGUUGAUGAUUAGUCUUUUAUUGAGACACUAAUUCGCAAUAUGUUAUAUUGAUCUUCGAUAACCUUUCUUUGGUUCAAAAUAUUCUUAGAUUUUUAAAAUGGUGAUUAGGUUUUGGUUAAUUUUGUUUUUGGUAAUCGUCGUUGUUCGUAUCGUUGUGCCAAGAUUUGGUUAUUUCCGGUUAUCUGUGGUUAAAUAUCGGUUAUUUAUUGUUCUGGUAUCAAUCAUUCAAUACAUUGCAAAGAGUUCAUCAAUCUGAAAAUGGUAAUUAGUUUUUGGUUAAUUUUGUUUUACCGGUUCGCGGGUGUUCGUAUUGUUGUGCCAAGAUUUGGUUAUUUCCGGUUAUAUGUGGUUAAAUCUCGGUUAUUUAUUGUUCUGGUAUCAAUCAUUCAAUACAUUGCAAAAAGUUCAUCAAUCUGAAAACGAUUGAUAUGCAGUG
rnacentral:sRNA from 1 species